rnacentral:rRNA from 1 species
AGAGAUGUACUGGGCAUAAAGUGUGCGCAGGCGGUUUUGUAAGACAGAGGUGAAAUCCCCGGGCUCAACCUGGGAACUGCCUUUGUGACUGCAAGGCUGGAGUGCGGCAGAGGGGGAUGGAAUUCCGCGUGUAGCAGUGAAAUGCGUAGAUAUGCGGAGGAACACCGAUGGCGAAGGCAAUCCCCUGGGCCUGCACUGACGCUCAUGCACGAAAGCGUGGGGAGCAAACA